rnacentral:rRNA from 1 species
GAUGAACGCUGGCGGCGUGCCUAAUACAUGCAAGUCGAGCGAACGGACGAGAAGCUUGCUUCCCUGCUGUUAGCGGCGGACGGGUGAGUAACACGUGGAUAACCUACCUAUAAGACUGGGAUAACUUCGGGAAACCGGAGCUAAUACCGGAUAAUAUUUUGAACCGCAUGGUUCAAAAGUGAUAGACGGUCUUGCUGUCACUUAUAGAUGGAUCCGCGCUGCAUUAGCUAGUUGGUAAGGUAACGGCUUACCAAGGCAACGAUGCAUAGCCGACCUGAGAGGGUGAUCAGCCACACUGGAACUGAGACACGGUCCAGACUCCUACGGGAGGCAGCAGUGGGGAAUCUUCGGUAAUGGGCGAAAGCCUGACGCAGCAACGCCGCGUGAGUGAUGAAGGUCUUCGGAUCGUAAAACUCUGUUAUUAGGGAAGAACAGAUGUGUAAUUAACUGUGGAUAUCUUGACGGUACCUAAUCAGAAAGCCACGGCUAACUACGUG